AGUUUUGGUAUACUGUGCUGGGAGAGCAUAGGCAGACAGAAACCCUUUGAAGGAGACAGCAAUUAAUGCAUGCAAAGGUUCAGAAGUAUACACAUUGCAGAUAGGCCUGCAGAACUCAGAGGCUGAACAACUGCCUGCCCAUCCUUCCCAGAACUGUGAUACAGCCUUGAAUUCCAAGAAAUAACUGCUUGCAAACAGUUUUGAAAGAAAGUUUCCAAGAAAAUUCUCCAUUUUAAUUUUUUUCAGGUCAUCUGUCAACAAAAACUCCGCCAGGUAAUGAGCAAGAAAAUCCCUCCUGUAGUACCAAGUUCAUCACCUAUUCUACUUGGUAGCAGUAGAAAUAUUGCAGGAAGAGAAAAUAUUCUUGAGGCUGAUCUGACAGGUCCUAUCGCACAGGACUCAACAAAGAAAAGUCUCUGCCUUCAAAUAUAUUCAGCUCCAACUAUACCAAGGAAAAUUACUACUAUUUGUUCCACAUACAUGUAUUUUUCAAGUAUAGUUGUCCAUUUUUAGAGCUUUGCUCUCUACUGGUAUCAUUCAAAGCAUGAGCUCACUGCAGAAGUGCUUUUUCUGUAUUCCUCAUACCUUUGGAAACAGAAGUUGAGCCACAGGAAAUCAAUUAACUUAUAAUAAUAUUUGCAUUUCCAAGCAUUUUACUUCUUAUCAAUAGCUGCCAGACUUAGAAUAGAAUUUUCUGGAACUUAUGAAACAAAUCCAUAUAGAAUUCCUGAAAAACACAGAAGCGUGCUGUAGUAUAUGACAAAAUCUUCCCAGGAAUAGUGUCCUAUUAUCAAGUGUCCAAAGAACAGCUAGUAAUAAAAAGGUGCUCUCGAGUUAGUCAGAUGAUAUAUGUUAUGUUCUGUUGCUGUUCAAUUUAAGGGUCU